rnacentral:lncRNA from 1 species
UAAAAGGGUUACAUUUAUAACAUCUUUAGCCUACAUAACUCUUUGUGAAUAUAUAUACCUACAUAAGUGGGAACACCAAACUAUCUACUCUUGAACAGUUACAAUUCUAAAUAGACUGCUGAUUAAAUAUUCCACGUGUAGGUUAGAGAUUCAAGACCACCUUAGGCUCAAGGUGGUAUUGAGUUCUCUUUUCCUGGGGUGUUGCCUCUGGGUUCAUGUAGUGGCUCAGCACGUUGUUAGUGGGAUUCUUUCCCAUCCUAGAUCCCUGUUAUGGGACCACACAAUUUCCUCAUCAUUAUAUAUUUUUUUUAGAUAAAUUGGAUUCCACAAAAUCCUUCUCUGAAGGAAAAUG